rnacentral:rRNA from 1 species
GACGAACGCUGGCGACGUGCCUAACACAUGCAAGUCGAGCGAUGAAGUUUCCUUCGGGAAAUGGAUUAGCGGCGGACGGGUGAGUAACACGUGGGUAACCUGCCUCAUAGAGGGGAAUAGCCUCCCGAAAGGGAGAUUAAUACCGCAUAAUAUUACAGUUUCGCAUGAAACAGUAAUUAAAGGAGCAAUCCGCUAUGAGAUGGACCCGCGGCGCAUUAGCUAGUUGGUGAGGUAACGGCUCACCAAGGCGACGAUGCGUAGCCGACCUGAGAGGGUGAUCGGCCACAUUGGGACUGAGACACGGCCCAGACUCCUACGGGAGGCAGCAGCGGGGAAUAUUGCACAAUGGGGGAAACCCUGAUGCAGCAACGCCGCGUGAGUGAUGACGGUCUUCGGAUUGUAAAGCUCUGUCUUUGGGGACGAUAAUGACGGUACCCAAGGAGGAAGCCACGGCUAACUACGUGCCAGCCGCCGCGGUAAUAC